CUUGGUGCCACUAGAUGGGACAGAACCCCACACCCAGGAGGUAUGUGGGUUACAUAGACAAGCCCCUUAGGCUAUGUCUACACUAGCAUUUUUGUUGUUAGAACUUUUGUUGAUCAAAUAUGUGGAAACCUCCUCUUCCACACUGCCCCCCUCCAGGACGGACAUAAGUUUCACUGACACAAGCACCCGUGUGGAUAGCGCUAUGUCAGCAAAAGACGCUUUCCAACCAUCAUAGCUACUGCAGCUUGUUAGGGGUGGUUUAAUUAUGCCGGUGGGAGACCUUAAAGUGAUAUCACUACAGUGGCACAGCUAUACCGCUAUAAGAUCUGUAGUGUAAACAUAGCCUUAUAUGCUUGUCUUUGCCAUCUGUGUGGUCCCCUUGACUUGACUGAAUCUGUUUCAGUGGAGCUGGUUCUGUGCUGUAAUUUAGUGACUAUAACCAGGAUUUUUAAAUACAGGAGCCUAACGUUAACUUUCUAAAUCCCCUGUCAGGCUGCUGAAUAAAGGCCUGAUGAUAGCAGUGCUGAAUACUCACAACCAAACCCCAAGGAUGCAAACUCAGCAUUUUUGGAACUCCAACUACUUAUUGAGAGACCUGAAUGUGGGUUUGGGACCUAAUUUUAGGUUGCUCUUUAUGGAAAAACUUGGCUGAAUCAUUUCCCCAGCAUGGCAGAGUUUAGAGCGUCUAUGUGCAGGGAAAGAACUUGGGGGGAAUUGGAGUGUGAAAUGGACCAAAGCCCCAGUCUCCUUCUCCCUUCUCACCUUGACAGGCUGAAGAAUAAUGGUCCAGAUCAUCCCAUACCCCAGAGGGAUGGGAAAAGGAAGUGCUUGCAGCAGAGCUCCUGAUCCUUGAGGAAGAGGCUGUGUAAGAGGAACAGUGGGCUUUGCUGGACCCGGGUCAGAGAGCCCUCUACAGGGAUGAAUGCAGGAGAAUUAUAAGACUGUGACCUCGCUAGCAGGUGACUAGACAGUGAGUGAAAAGGAGGAGGAAAACUCUCAGCAGGAAUGUCCUGAGCCAGUGGAACCACACAGAGGGUGGUCUCAGGAAGAGGUGAAGAGAACUUUUCUCAGAGUCCUGAGCAGCAAGAAGCCCAUGAGUCUGCAGGCCAGAGAAGCAGCCAGAGAAGAUACAGUGUAAAUCCUCUCAAAGGAGCAGAGGAUCCUCCCAAAGGAACAAGAAAAUCAAAGAAGCUGUUCAACAGAGAAUCCCCACUGGAGAGGGACCCUACACAUGCGGAGACUGUGGAAGAAGCUUCCCUUGGAAAUCCGUUCCUCUUACUCAUCAGAGAAUCCAUACAGGAGAAAAACCCUACAAGUGCCCUGACUGCGAGAAAUGCUUCAGGCAGCAUGGAAAUCUCAUUGCACAUCCACACAGAAGAGAAAUUCUACACAUGCAGUGACUGAGGGUAAAGCUUCAGUCUCAGCUCAGACCUCACAAAACAUCAGAGAAACCACAUGGGAGGAAAACCCUACACCUGCUGUGAGUGCGGGAAAAGCUUCAGACUCCGCUCCCACCUCCCACCACAUCAGGGAAUCCACAGUGGGGAGACCCUAUAAGUGUCCUAAGUGUGAUAAAAGCUUCAAAUGUAGCUCAUCAGUUAUCAGACGCGAGAGAAUUCACACAGAGGAGAAGCCCUAUAAAUACCCCAACUGCGGGAAAAGCUUCAGCCAGAGCUGGUACCUUAUUACCCAUCACAGAAGCCACACAGGAGUGAAGCCCACACAUGCUCCCUGUGUGGGAAAAGCUUCCACCAGAACUCGCACCUUAUUUCACACCAGAGAACUCACAUGGGGGAGAACGCCUAUAAAUGCCACCAGUGUGAGAAAAGCUUCAAUCAGAAGUGGAACCUUAUUAAGUGGACAAGUGGAACCUUGUCUAUUGAUAAGUGAGUUCUUACCAAACAGAAUACUAUCAAACUAAACUUCCUUUUACAUCCUCUAGGCUCUUCCCUUUCUCUGGAGGUGAUAGAUCGGAUCACCUUUCUAACAGCCCCAGACUGCCUUAUUUCAAUGUGACUAGUUUGGAAUGUGAGGAUGUGACCAUUCGCGUCCCAGCUUAUGACUGGUUCUGCUGCUUAGCCAAAGGCCUUCGCCUAAGCAGAGGGCCUCAGACUGUCACAGUAAGAGAAGGCCCUUACGCCGGCAGACAGUGAUUUUGUUUGUUUCUUUUAUACCUCUAUAACUAGCUAAGUGAUAAGAAUACACCUACAUUCUUAGAGUAUAGGCCUUUACAGACAGGCCUGAAUAUCUGUAUCCUAACAGCCUUUGCUAAUGCAACCUAAAAUUGACUUCCUUUUUUUGCAACAGAGUUGCACUGUUGACUCAUGCUGGGGAUGUGAUCCACAAUUCCCAGACCCUUCUCAGCAGUGCUGCUGCCAAGCCAGUUAUUCCCCAUUCAGUAUUUAUUUUUUCUUCCUCCACUGUAGCACCUUACCUUUGUCUAUGCUGAAUUUCAUCCUGAGGUUCUGCCAUCAUGGCUGUUCCUCCCUGUUCUGCAGUGCUAUCCCAACCCGCCAGCCAGUGCUAGUUGGCAGAGACUCGAAGCAGUAGUCCCCUCAGGAAACUGUCAUGUAAAAGUAACUGCUCUAUUUCAUUCUUCUCUGCCAUAUUGCCGUGGCUGUCUCCCACCCAUCUGAAGCGGUCCAGCUGCAUGACUGCCAGUACAUACAGAACAGCCUGUUCAUAUUAGGGACUGUCAGGACCAUGGCCUCAACAGUAGCUUCCUCAUGCUGCCUUACUGCAGUUUGAAAAUGCCACUGGUGAGGAACAAAAAAAAUGGAUGAAUUAUAGGAUGCCAGAAGAGGAAUCCUAGGAGUUUGUUAAUUUGACCCCAAGUCCCAGUUGGUUGUGGUAUGUAUCCCACAAUGCACCAUGAAAAAAAUUCCACAAUGCAGAGAGCGCAGUGGUGGAACAUUGUGUCCUGGGGUAUCUGCUCAGGAUGCUGCACGGUUAUUUUGACUAAAGUGAAGAGCAACAAUUCAGAACGGAAGCAGCUAAAAGUGGCAUAUACAGAGAAAAGUGGAUGCACUCUUUCAUAAUAGCUAUACUGAUACAGUUAGAGCAG